rnacentral:rRNA from 1 species
UACACACCGCCCGUCACACCAUGGGAGUGGGCUGCACCAGAAGUAGGUUGCUUAACCCUCGGGAGGGCGCUUACCACGGUGUGGUUCAUGACUGGGGUG